GACGAACCGUGCGAACGUUGUUCGGAUUUACUGGGCGUAAAGGGCGCGUAGGCGGUCAGCACAAUUCAGUUGUGAAAUCUCCGGGCUUAACCCGGAACGGUCAAGUGAUACUGUCGUGCUAGAGUGCGGAAGGGGCUACUGGAAUUCUCGGUGUAGCGGUGAAAUGCGUAGAUAUCGAGAGGAACACCUGCGGCGAAGGCGGGUAGCUGGGCCGACACUGACGCUGAUGCGCGAAAGCCAGGGGAGCGAACGGG
rnacentral:rRNA from 1 species